AUUGAACGCUGGCGGCAUGCCUUACACAUGCAAGUCGAACGGUAACAGGUCUUCGGAUGCUGACGAGUGGCGAACGGGUGAGUAAUACAUCGGAACGUGCCUAGUAGUGGGGGAUAACUACUCGAAAGAGUGGCUAAUACCGCAUGAGAUCUACGGAUGAAAGCAGGGGAUCGCAAGACCUUGUGCUACUAGAGCGGCCGAUGGCAGAUUAGGUAGUUGGUGGGAUAAAAGCUUACCAAGCCGACGAUCUGUAGCUGGUCAGAGAGGACGAUCAGCCGCACUGGGACUGAGGAACGGCCCAGACUCCUACGGGAGGCAGCAGUGGGGAAUUUUGGACAAUGGGCGCAAGCCUGAUCCAGCAAUGCCGCGUGCAGGAUGAAGGCCUUCGGGUUGUAAACUGCUUUUGUACGGAACGAAAAGCCCCGGGUUAAUACCCUGGGGUCAUGACGGUACCGUAAGAAUAAGCACCGGCUAACUACGUGCCAGCAGCCGCCGCCG
rnacentral:rRNA from 1 species